AAACAAAGAAAAAAGAAGACACUUUGGAAGAAAAACAAAGGGCCAAUUUCGGCCAAGCUUGGAGGAAACAAGAACCUUGGAAAAAUUUCUCAAAAAUUACUCUCUACUAAUUGGAAGGUCCCUAGCAAGGAGAAGAGGUCAUUGGAACAAGUAGAACAUUUAUUGUUGCAAGAUCAACAUUCUAGCCAAGUGGGAAAUUGAAGAAAAAGGAUUUUGGCGGAUUUGGAACGUGAAUUUGGAGUCGCAUAAGAAGCAGAAAAGGUACACCAGAUGAGCCACAGCUAUCAUAGAAGAUGUUCCAGCGGAGUUGGCAGGCUCCACUUGUUCUGGAGUGCUGCCGAGUCAGAGUGUCUGAGCCAUGAUGUUUUUUUGAUGUUAGAGACUUUGCAGACAGAGUCGUGGGUAUAGAGUGUCGAUAAUAUGUUGUAUCAUAAAGUCCAUGUGAUUGCAGAUUCUGUUUGACUUGAGUACGAUGGAAAAAAAAAAUCUCUUGAAAGUUUUACUAUGUUUUCCAUUUUUAUUGAUAUAAGAGUCUAAGAAAGUUAAGUAUGUAACAAGAGUCAGCGGGUUCGCUCGGCUCCAGAUAUGGGGUCGGGUGCCCAUCACACCCUAGUAAGGUCGGGGUG